rnacentral:rRNA from 1 species
AGUGAACGCUGGCGGUAGGCCUAACACAUGCAAGUCGAACGGCAGCACAGAAAGCGCUUGCUCUUACGGGUGGCGAGUGGCGGACGGGUGAGGAACACAUCGGAAUCUACUUUUUCGUGGGGGAUAACGUAGGGAAACAUACGCUAAUACCGCAUACGACCUACGGGUGAAAGCAGGGGAUCUUCGGACCUUGCGCGAGUGAAUGAGCCGAUGUCGGAUUAGCUAGUUGGCGGGGUAAAGGCCCACCAAGGCGACGAUCCGUAGCUGGUCUGAGAGGAUGAUCAGCCACACUGGAACUGAGACACGGUCCAGACUCCUACGGGAGGCAGCAGUGGGGAAUAUUGGACAAAGGGCGCAAGCCUGAUCCAGCCAUACCGCGUGGGUGAAGAAGGCCUUCGGGUUGUAAAGCCCUUUUGUUGGGAAAGAAAAGCAGCAGGUUAAUACCCCGCUGUUCUGACGGUACCCAAAGAAUAAGCACCGGCUAACUUCGUG